UGAAGUUAUCAAUCAUAACACUUUAAUUUGUUGUUACAUUAUAAAGAUUUAACGACUCGGAGCAAAUAUUAUCAAAAAAGCAAAUUUCAUAUCUAAAAAGGGAAAAAAUGAAAUAAGAAAAGUUGAACUUAAAGAAGAGAGUCAUUAAUUAAGUUUUAGCUAAUUUGUGGUUACAUGUUUGGGAAUCUUUUGAUUCUUUAGGAAUGUAUUUCUCUCGUUUCAAAUUGUACAGACACCCCAAUGUUGCUCGCAACGUGAUCUCAUUUGGUUUGUUAUGCCAUUAAAUACUUAAAUGGUGUUAUCAUUUGCAGAUUCUUUCCAUGGCCUUCGUUAAAUACCAACACAAACUCACUCAAGGGUAUUACGUGUAAACUAAAUAUUUUGUAUUUUCUGUUAUGUAGGUAAGGUGCUAUUGUCACUCAUUAUAUAAAUUGUAAUAACCAAAACGUGAUAUCUACCGACACAAUGAAAUUAAGUUUGACGCUUUUGUUGUUAAAGUCAUGCAGCCAAGAAUUGCACUUACUCCAGCAACCCUAUCUAAUAACUUUAUAUUCCUUGCCGCCUUAUGUUAACGUUUUGCAAAAGAAUUACGUUUGCAUCAAAUAACAAUUUUUUCCCCUGUUUUAUGUCUCCUAUUGCCAAAAGAAAACCCUUAAAACUUAUUAGUUUCAGAUUUAUCCAUGUGUCAUAUGUUUAACUUAUCUUUCAAUAAUUCAAAAGGCUCUACCUUCAUUGUAUAUUAUUGCGUUUUUUUUAUUUUGUUAACUAAAUUAUAACGUUUAGCCUAAGUUUCGUACGAAAAUAUAUAGCUGUGUUUACUUGCUUUAAAUUGAAAAGGACAAAUGCAAUGUAAUUCGGUUUGAUAAUACAUUUAAAGUUAAUAAUUAGUUUUAUAUUCAUUAUGUGUUUAGUAGCCCGUGACUUCACCAUGGGAAUAUGCACGAGGAGGUGUAUACCGCCUGCUUCCAGCGAGUCAAGAUGCAGGACGUAUACGAUACGCGUCGACUGACAGGUCCAGCAGUAUCCCCACAAAUUAUCAGUGAUAGUGACUUAAAACUAUAUAGUAUUGUUUUAAAAUCAAUCUAAAGUUAUUCAAAAACGUAUUUUAUUUUAUUCUUUUCUUCUUGAAUACAAAUCACGCAUUUGCUGUAUAAAUGCAUUUCCUUUCGAAGACAAAGCCAGCAUUUCCCAGCCCUUUUUUAAAUGAGACAAUUUAACGUGAUACAUGUAUGAUCUAACUUAUUUAAAAUUCACUUUUUCAUGGCUUAUUAAAACUUCAGAGCAAAUCUG
rnacentral:sRNA from 1 species